GUCGAGGGGCAGCGGGGGCGAAAGCUUGCUUUCGCCUGCCGGCGACCGGCGCACGGGUGAGUAACACGUAUGGAACCUGCCCUAUGCAGGGGGAUAAGCGGAAGAAAUUCCGUCUAAUACCGCAUAACACCAUUUGGAGACAUCUCCAGGGGGUCAAAGGAGGCGACUCCGGCAUAGGAUGGCCAUGCGUCGCAUUAGCUAGUCGGCGGGGUAACGGCCCACCGAGGCGACGAUGCGUAGGGGUUCUGAGAGGAAGGUCCCCCACACUGGUACUGAGACACGGACCAGACUCCUACGGGAGGCAGCAGUGAGGAAUAUUGGUCAAUGGGCGCAAGCCUGAACCAGCCAAGUCGCGUGAGGGAAGACGGUCCUAUGGAUUGUAAACCUCUUUUGUCGGGGAGCAAAGCGCGGUACGAGUGCCGUGAAGGAGAGUACCCGAAGAAAAAGCAUCGGCUAACUCCGUGCCAGCAGCCGCGGUAAUACGGAGGAUGCGAGCGUUAUCCGGAUUUAUUGGGUUUAAAGGGUGCGUAGGCGGAUUUGUAAGUCAGCGGUAAAAAUGCGGUGCUCAACGCCGUAUCGCCGUUGAAACUGCAGGUCUUGAGUGAGCGAGAAGUAUGCGGAAUGCGUGGUGUAGCGGUGAAAUGCAUAGAUAUCACGCGGAACUCCGAUUGCGAAGGCAGCAUACCGGCGCUCAACUGACGCUGAGGCACGAAAGCGUGGGGAU
rnacentral:rRNA from 1 species